rnacentral:tRNA from 1 species
CGGACUGUAGUAUAGCGGUAGUAUAUGUGCUUUGGGAGCACACGGCCUGGGUUCGACUCCCAGCAGUCCGA